GAUGAACGCUGGCGGCGUGCUUAACACAUGCAAGUCGAACGGAAAGGCCCAAGCUUGCUUGGGUACUCGAGUGGCGAACGGGUGAGUAACACGUGGGUGAUCUGCCCUGCACUUCGGGAUAAGCCUGGGAAACUGGGUCUAAUACCGGAUAGGACGAUGGUUUGGAUGCCAUUGUGGAAAGUUUUUUCGGUGUGGGGUGAGCUCGCGGCCUAUCAGCUUGUUGGUGGGGUAAUGGCCUACCAAGGCGUCGACGGGUAGCCGGCCUGAGCGGGUGUACGGCCACAUUGGGACGGAGAGACGGCCCAGACUCCUACGGGAGGCAGCAGUGGGGAAUAUUGCACAAUGGGCGCAAGCCUGAUGCAGCGACGCCGCGUGGGGGAUGACGGCCUUCGGGUUGUAAACUCCUUUCGCUAGGGACGAAGCGUUUUUGUGACGGUACCUGGAGAAGAAGCACCGGCUAACUACGUG
rnacentral:rRNA from 1 species